rnacentral:RNase_P_RNA from 1 species
GGAGUCAGCCAGGUGGCGGCCUCUACGGCUUUGUUUUUCGGAACCGAGCACGGGGGGAGGAAAGUCCGGACAUCGACGAGCAGGGCGCCUGGCGCAAGCCAGGGCGGGGCGACCCGACGGAAAGUGCCACAGAAACAAACCGCCUCGCCUUCGGGCGCGGUAAGGGUGAAAUGGUGGGGUAAGAGCCCACCGGCAGACCGGGUGACCGGCUGGCCGGGCAAACCCCGUCCGAUGCAAGGCCAAAUAGGGAGGGGUUGACGUUGCUCACCGACCCUCCGGGUUGGCCGCGUAGAUAAAUCGCUACCCACGACAGAAUCCGGCUUAUCGGCUGGCUCCACUC